rnacentral:rRNA from 1 species
UACGGAGGGUGCGAGCGUUGUCCGGAAUCACUGGGCGUAAAGGGCGCGUAGGCGGCCCCGGUAAGUCCGCUGUAAAAAGUCCAGGGCUCAACCCCUGGAAAGCCGGUGGAUACUGUCGGGCUAGAGUCCGGAAGAGGCGAGUGGAAUUCCUGGUGUAGCGGUGGAAUGCGCAGAUAUCAGGAGGAACACCGAUGGCGAAGGCAGCUCGCUGGGACGGUACUGACGCUGAGGCGCGAAAAGCGUGGGGGAGCGAACAGG